AUAAGGAGGAGGUCCCGGAGAGGUGUGUCCCUUGGCGGGAACCGGCCGCCGCCCCCCACCCCACCCCCCAAAUGCGCGAACUCAGCGGAACAUGCGAACCAACCAACACGUACGUAGGCUCGAGCAUCGUGACUCUCUUCGCACAAAUGCACGCCUGGCAGAUGCCAGUUCUACGGAAGAGUUGGCUGUGGCUGGACUUGGUCCAACCCCAUAAGUUAAUACUGUCACAGAUUACCUCAGGUUUUCCUGGAAACCUCAGCGCAUGAGCACCUACUGUGAGUCACCAGAUUGAUUUUCUAAAGUAUUGCAUGAAUCCUGCAUGUCACUUUCACUGGUCUUCCACCACCUACAAUUUACUCACAGGAGGACCUAGAGAUUCUGCCUCUGCAAUUCACUGGCUACCAACACAUACUCUAUCCCUUGAUAGAUUGCUGGGAGUGUGUGCUGGAGGUGCUAGGUGGGGGGGUGGUCAGUAGGUAAGACCUGAUGAUGGUGUUGAGAGAUCUUUCUCGUGUAAAUACUCCACAAGGGCUAUCAUUUCAAGCUACCAUUGUGAUGUCACUGAACAUGAAACUGGGAAAAUGUGCUGCUUAUAAAAUAUUUUCACCAUAUGUAUACAAUCACCAUAAAUAACCUCAAGAGCAUAAAAA